AUUGAACGCUGGCGGCAGGCCUAACACAUGCAAGUCGAACGGUAACAGAAAGCAGCUUGCUGCUUUGCUGACGAGUGGCGGACGGGUGAGUAAUGUCUGGGAAACUGCCUGAUGGAGGGGGAUAACUACUGGAAACGGUAGCUAAUACCGCAUAACGUCGCAAGACCAAAGAGGGGGACCUUCGGGCCUCUUGCCAUCGGAUGUGCCCAGAUGGGAUUAGCUAGUAGGUGGGGUAACGGCUCACCUAGGCGACGAUCCCUAGCUGGUCUGAGAGGAUGACCAGACACACUGGAACUGAGACACGGUCCAGACUCCUACGGGAGGCAGCAGUGGGGAAUAUUGCACAAUGGGCGCAAGCCUGAUGCAGCCAUGCCGCGUGUAUGAAGAAGGCCUUCGGGUUGUAAAGUACUUUCAGCGGGGAGGAAGGGAGUAAAGUUAAUACCUUUGCUCAUUGACGUUACCCGCAGAAGAAGCACCGGCUAACUCCGUG
rnacentral:rRNA from 1 species